UUACCCUCAACGCGAAAGUUUCACCGCUCUGAGCGUGUGACAGACCCAGUGCCGCGUCCCGCAGCGCUGCCGGGGCGGGCGCCCACACCGGCGAGAGGCGCUACGGUCAGUGCGCACUGGGAGCUGCGGGAAAAUGGAGGUUCUCAAACUGAUCCUUGCUGCUUAGGAAGCUCAGUUCCCAAGGUUCCUCCCACUUGCCCUGGUGAAGAAAUACUAACUUUGGGAUCCUGCAGUGUAUAACAUUGCAGAGGACCCUUGAAGCUGAAUGGAGACCUGUUCCUGUGAUGCUCCAGUCAAGUUAAUAUCGUGAACCGUUUGAUUGAUGUUCUUGGGGCUGUACUCCAUGCUGUUUUAAACAGGAAGCUCUUCCAGUAUCGCUUCAGCUCACCAAACAAGGCCACUUCCUUAACAAUACAAUAACAGGAAUUUGAACAGAAAUUUCAAAAUUCAGUUCUCAAGGGCAUGAAGACAGUUGCUUUCAUUCUUGCAUUAUCUCCAGUAUGUAGGUAUAAAAAUUAUGCUUUUUGUUUAGGAAAAAAUACUUUCCUUAUAUUUUUUUUUUUUUCACAAGGAGUCUGGCUUUUUUACAAUUGUUAAAAUACUGUUCCAGUUUUGUGAGAGAUUUGUCAUUCUUUCUCUCCCUAGACCACAUUUACGCUGGCAAUAUUGCAAUAUGGUUCUGCAAGAACUUCUAACAGUUUUUCAUCUUUUAAUAUGCUUAUGUGUUUCACCAGUAAGAACAGUACUUAUAGAUAGGUACUGGUCAGGUGCAGGUUGCUCAAGAGACAAGCCUCAGUCACUGCCUGUGUUCAUUUGCUACUUCUAAUACAGAUACAAGAAGUAUUAUAGCUCAAUAAAACUGAAUGGUUUAUACUGCAGAAUUAAAUUAUUUGCCUUGGUGUUUACUGGUAAGAUUUGCUUUCAGGGAUAUCAGGCCAUGGAGAUCAGUGAAAAUGUCUAUAGCUCUGAAGAUUUAACCUCAGUCAAGGAGGACUGAGUUAGGAAAUGUUUAAAUAAAAAGAGCAUACACAGGUCUGUGGGAUUUGGUGGAAUUCAUCCAUACUUGCAGGGCUGCUCUCAAUUUUUUCUGGAAGGUCAUGGCAAUCAGAUGAGAUUCCUGGGGACUGUAAGAAAGCAAAUAUCACAUCUGUCUUCCAGAAGGGCAAGAAGGAGGAUCCAGGGAACUAGAAGCCUGUCAGCCUCAUCUCAGUCCCUGGGAGGGUAAUGGAGCAAAUCCUCAUGGAAGCUGUUUUCAAAUAUGUCAUGGACAGCAUGGAUGUAUGCAGGGGAAGUCAUGCCUGACCGAUCUGGCAGCAUUCUGUGAUGGCUUUGCCAAUGAGGGGAGAACAGUGCAUGUUGCUUAUUUUCACUUUAGCAAGGCUUUUGACAUUGUCUCCCAUCGUGUCCAAAAAGACAAACUAAUGAAGUACAGAUGAGAAAAAUGAACCGUGAGGUGGACCGAAAGCUGGCUGAACUGUUGAGCUCCAAGGAUAGGC